CCUACGGCGGCUGCAGUGGGGAAUAUUGGACAAUGGGCGAAAGUCUGAUCCAGCCAUGCCGCGUGUGUGAAGAAGGCCUUCGGGUUGUAAAGCACUUUCAGUGGGGAAGAAAGCCUUGGGGCUAAUACCCUCGAGGAAGGACAUCACCCACAGAAGAAGCACCGGCUAACUCCGUGCCAGCAGCCGCGGUAAUACGGAGGGUGCGAGCGUUAAUCGGAAUUACUGGGCGUAAAGCGCGCGUAGGCGGUCUGAUAAGCCGGUUGUGAAAGCCCCGGGCUCAACCUGGGAACGGCAUCCGGAACUGUCAGGCUAGAGUGCAGGAGAGGAAGGUAGAAUUCCCGGUGUAGCGGUGAAAUGCGUAGAGAUCGGGAGGAAUACCAGUGGCGAAGGCGGCCUUCUGGACUGACACUGACGCUGAGGUGCGAAAGCGUGGGUAGCAAACAGGAUUAGAUACCCGUGUAGUC
rnacentral:rRNA from 1 species